CCUACGGGGGGCAGCAGUGGGGAAUAUUGGACAAUGGGGGGAACCCUGAUCCAGCCAUGCCGCGUGUGUGAAGAAGGCCCUCGGGUUGUAAAGCACUUUCAGUGAGGAAGAACGCCUGGUGGUUAAUACCCAUCAGGAAAGACAUCACUCACAGAAGAAGCACCGGCUAACUCCGUGCCAGCAGCCGCGGUAAUACGGAGGGUGCGAGCGUUAAUCGGAAUUACUGGGCGUAAAGCGCGUGUAGGUGGCUUGAUAAGCCGGUUGUGAAAGCCCCGGGCUCAACCUGGGAACGGCAUCCGGAACUGUCAAGCUAGAGUGCAGGAGAGGAAGGUAGAAUUCCCGGUGGAGCGGUGAAAUGCGUAGAGAUCGGGAGGAAUACCAGUGGCGAAGGCGGCCUUCUGGACUGACACUGACACUGAGGUGCGAAAGCGUGGGUAGCAAACAGGAUUAGAUACCCCGGUAGUC
rnacentral:rRNA from 1 species